rnacentral:tRNA from 1 species
GCACCAGUAGAGUAGUAGUUAACUCAUUUCCCUCCCAUUCCCGUCUGGCUAGGAAGGAAAGGACCUGGGUGCAAAUCCCGGCUGGUGCA